AUAAUAUAUGCUAAAAAAAAGGUGUUUUAAUAGCUUAUUAAUCUAUACAAUAUAUAACUUCCCCUUUAAACAAUACCAUUUACUUCUGCUCCAUAUCUUCCCAGAGUUGCUUCAUCUUCUACUUGGUGGACUACAAGCCCCUCAGGUUUAAAUGGUGGUACGUGUAGCCAGACUGGGCCUUUGCACUGGGCUGGGCCAUGGCCCUCUCCUCCAACCUCCUGGUGCCACUGUGAUCGAUUGGCAGGAUCUAUGUUGGCACAGGCCGCCUCAGGCAGAGUUGCUUUAUCUUCUACUUGGUGGACUACAAGCCCUUCAGGUUUAAUCUGUGGUACGUGUAGCCAGACUGGGCCUUUGCACUGGUCUGGGCCAUGGCCCUCUCCUCCAUCACCCCGUAGCACUCACUUCCGUCAUCAUCAAGUGCUUUGAGAGUGCUUUGAGAGACUAGUCAAGGAUCAUUUCACCUCCACCCUACCUGACACCCUAGACCCACUCCAAUUUGCUUACCGCCCCAAUAGGUCCACAGACGACGCAAUCGCAAUCACACUGCACACUGCCCUAACCCAUCUGGUCAAGAGGAAUACCCAU
rnacentral:lncRNA from 1 species